AUUGAACGCUGGCGGCAUGCCUUACACAUGCAAGUCGAACGGCAGCGGACCUUCGGGUGCCGGCGAGUGGCGAACGGGUGAGUAAUGCAUCGGAACGUACCUUUCAGUGGGGGAUAACGUAGCGAAAGUUACGCUAAUACCGCAUAUUCUGUGAGCAGGAAAGCAGGGGAUCGCAAGACCUUGCGCUGAUUGAGCGGCCGAUGUCAGAUUAGCUAGUUGGUGGGGUAAAGGCUGACCAGGGCGACGAUCUGUAGCGGGUCUGAGAGGAUGGUCCGCCACACUGGGACUGAGACACGGCCCAGACUCCUACGGGAGGCAGCAGUGGGGAAUUUUGGACAAUGGGGGCAACCCUGAUCCAGCCAUGCCGCGUGAGUGAAGAAGGCCUUCGGGUUGUAAAGCUCUUUCGGCCGGGAAGAAAUCGCACAGGCUAAUACCUUGUGUGGAUGACGGUACCGGAAUAAGAAGCACCGGCUAACUACGUGCCAGCCGCCGCAGUAAGAC
rnacentral:rRNA from 1 species